rnacentral:rRNA from 1 species
AAACGCUGGCGGCGCACAUAAGACAUGCAAGUCGAACGGAAGUCGUUAUAUUGAUUUGAAGGGAACGGAGAACUUGUUCAAAGGGACAUGAUGAAGAUUAUAACAAUGGCUUUAGUGGCGGACUGGUGAGUAAUACGUAAGCAACCUGCCUAUCAGAGGGGAACAACAGUUAGAAAUGACUGCUAAUACCGCAUAUGCCAUAGUAACCACAUGGUUACAGUGGGAAAGGAGCAAUCCGCUGAUAGAUGGGCUUACGGCUGAUUAGCUAGUUGGUGGGGUAACGGCCUACCAAGGCGACGAUCAGUAGCCGGACUGAGAGGUUCAACGGCCACAUUGGGACUGAGAUACGGCCCAGACUCCUACGGGAGGCAGCAGUCGGGAAUUUUGCGCAAUGGAGGAAACUCUUGGGCGCAGUGACGCCGCGUGCAGGAAGAAGGUUUUCGGAUUGUAAACUGCUUUAGACAGGGAAGAAAAAGGACAGUACCUGUAGAAUAAGCUCCGGCUAACUACGUGCCAGCCGCUGC